AGAGUUUGAUCCUGGCUCAGGAUGAACGCUGGCGGUAUGCUUAACACAUGCAAGUCGAACGGUGCUUUAGGGCACAGUGGCGGACGGGUGAGUAACGCGUGAGAAUCUGGCUUUACUGGGACAACCACUGGAAACGGUGGCUAAUACCGGAUGUGCCGAAAGGUGAAAGGUUAACUGCCUGAAGAUGAGCUCGCGUCUGAUUAGCUAGUAGGUGUGGUAAAGGCGCACCUAGGCGACGAUCAGUAGCUGGUCUGAGAGGACGAUCAGCCACACUGGGACUGAGACACGGCCCAGACUCCUACGGGAGGCAGCAGUGGGGAAUUUUCCGCAAUGGGCGAAAGCCUGACGGAGCAAUCCGCGUGAGGGAGGAAGGCUCUUGGGUCGUAANNCUCUUUUCUCAGGGAAGAACACAAUGACGGUACCUGAGGAAUAAGCAUCGGCUAACUCCGUGCCAGCAGCCGCGGUAAUACGGAGGAUGCAAGCGUUAUCCGGAAUGAUUGGGCGUAAAGCGUCCGCAGGUGGCUGUGUAAGUCUGCUGUUAAAGAGUCUAGCUCAACUAGAUAAGAGCAGUGGAAACUACACGGCUAGAGUACGUUCGGGGCAGAGGGAAUUCCUGGUGUAGCGGUGAAAUGCGUAGAGAUCAGGAAGAACACCAGUGGCGAAGGCGCCUGCUAGGCCGUAACUGACACUGAGGGACGAAAGCUAGGGGAGCGAAUGGGAUUAGAUACCCUAGUAGUCC
rnacentral:rRNA from 1 species